rnacentral:rRNA from 1 species
CUAGCUGUAAACGAUGGAUACUAGGCGUUGAGAGUAUCGACCCUCUCAGUGUCGUAGCUAACGCGUUAAGUAUCCCGCCUGGGGAGUACGCGCGCAAGCGUGAAACUCAAAGGAAUUGACGGGGGCCCGCACAAGCGGUGGAGUAUGUGGUUUAAUUCGAUGCAACGCGAAGAACCUUACCAGGGCUUGACAUGUUUCCGGAACCCUGCCCAAAGGCGGGGGUGCCUACGGGAACCGGAACACAGGUGGUGC